rnacentral:snRNA from 1 species
GACUUUGGAGGCGAGACCAGUGAA